UUUCCGUAGGUGAACCUGCGGAAGGAUCAUUAUCGAAUUUCGAGGGGAAGGAAGAUGAGGAGUGGAGGCUGUCGCUGGCUUUCCCGCCUGGGAAGCAUGUGCACGCCUUGCUUUUCGUUGACCUUUCUCUUACUCUCACACCUGUGCACCCAUUGUAGGUCCUCGAAAGAGGAUCUAUGUUUUUAUCAUCACACGCAUCGUAUGCCCAUAGAAUGUAACAUGAUCGUCGAUCGACCUCGCGGUCGGGUGGCGGUCUAAAUAAAUAAAUACAACUUUCAGCAACGGAUCUCUUGGCUCUC
rnacentral:misc_RNA from 1 species